CAUCUCGCUGGAGUCGGAUCGAGAAUUCUGGCCAAACAGCAACUGGGUGAAGACACCGCCAAGCAACAACGUCACAUACUGGGGAUACUUCGAGUACUACAACUGGCUGGAUGAGAAGAAGAUCGAGCGGUUCCAGCACUAUACGAAGUACGGCGAGUUCUGGUUCGUCUGCGAAACACGCGGACGCAACAAGGUGAAGAAAGCUGACGAGGUGCGAGCUUACUACCCGGUCAUCACGACGCCUCUUGCUAAACCUUACGACGUCUGCAACCCGACGACGACGACCGAUGCCAUAGAAACGACGACGCCCGUCGACGUCGUGCCGACCGACGACACGCCCGCCUUCGCCACCGUCGCCUCGCCGU